rnacentral:pre_miRNA from 1 species
GAGACACCCUUCCGGGGCAAAACUUGCUUCAGUGGGGCUUUGGUGCUCACUGAGUCUGCCCCCUGAGUGUGUCCUU